AUAACCAACAGGAUAACCCAGCAAGAUGGACAAAUGGAAAGACCUACCUUUGCACUAUUGUUUUAUUCACAUUUCGAAACAAACAAUGUUAAUGCCCGGCAUGUUUGUGUCUAUCAGAUGGUUUCUGCCCAUCCAAUCCCAACUAGGACCGGAAGUGUGAAGAAUUAGCUCUAUUAGUAGCUAUAAACAAGACUCUGUUAGCAUCAGCUAGCACUACACAACCACAGGCAGAAAAUAAGCGUCAUCAAGCGUGAUGGAGCAACAAAAUGCAUCUGAGUGCCCUCAUGCCAGGUCUUACUGCAAAGGUCUUCAGGACAUACAAUGCCUCCAUCACGCUACAAGAGCAACUCAAAGAGCUCACAAAUGGUGUAAAAGAAUGGGGAUACCUAUUGAAAAAAUCUACAAUAAGAGCCAAAGAGACAAGUUUGCCUGGGCCAUUGAGAUGACGGAGGUGGACUUUGAGUUCUAACUGCCCACUUGGACAUGAAUGCAAUAAACAACCGAUCUGCCAUAAUAUAAACUAAAGUGAUUCAUGUUACAUUUGUAACAUCUUGACAUGUCAUUUGUUGACAUUUUCAUGCAGUUUUAGGUCACAGUCAAGCUCUACUCUUUGACAGUUUUGUUUGCUGCUUCUCUGUUGGACACUUUGUCAUAUUGCUGUAUUUUGUGUUUGCAUUU